UUCCCCACCUCCUGGACCUGCUUUGAGACCCACGCCACUCCGAUCCGGCCUGAAGAACUCCUCCAGCGCUAAUGACGCGUCUCACCUGA
rnacentral:rRNA from 1 species